UCCUGGUGGCUUAGAUGGUAAAGAAUCUGCCUGCAAUGCAGGAGACCUGGGUUCAACCCCUGGGUCGGGAA
rnacentral:tRNA from 1 species